GACGAACGCUGGCGGCGUGCUUAACACAUGCAAGUCUACGAGAAAGAGGUAGCAAUAUCUUGAUUAAAGUGGCGCACGGGUGAGUAACACGUAAGCAAUCUACCCUUAGAUCCGGAAUAACUUCGAGAAAUCGAGGCUAAUACCGGGUAAUGCAGCGGCACCGCAUGGUGAUGUUGUUAAAGUUUCGAUGUCUAGGGAUGAGCUUGCGUCUGAUGAGCUAGUUGGUGGGAUAACGGUCCACCAAGGCUGCGAUCAGUAGCCGGUCUGAGAGGAUGAGCAGUCACACUGGAACUGAGACACAGUCCAGACUCCUACGGGAGGCAGCAGUGGGGAAUAUUGGACAAUGGGCGAAAGCCUGAUCCAGCCAUGCCGCGUGUGUGAAGAAGGUCUUCGGAUUGUAAAGCACUUUAAGUUGGGAGGAAGGGUAUUCACCUAAUACGUGGGUACUUUGACGUUACCAACAGAAUAAGCACCGGCUAACUCUGUGCCAGCCGCCGCGGUAACAC
rnacentral:rRNA from 1 species